rnacentral:lncRNA from 1 species
UGGAAUUAAAUUGUGGUCAUCUGUAGAUUUGAGGAGUAAAAUUCAUUUGGAUCUAUUUUUGGCUCCAUAGUUCCCAUGCACUAUAGUCAUCCUGAAGAUUUACUACAUCAGCCAGCUGGGUGUCGAGUCUGUUAGACGGAUAUGCUGCGAUGAAGUAUGGACUAUGUUCUUUAGCUUGAGCUAUUGUAGCUAAUGAUCUUUGCCUAUUGAUUGUUUGUUUAAUUGUCUCUGUCUACUUUAAUAUCAUAUUCAUGUUACUCUCAAAUGUAGAAUCAAAAUGACACUUUAAUAGCUGAAUGUAGAAUUAAGUGGGCAUGUUCUCCGAAGUACAUACAUGGCAUAAUCC